CCCUUAGAUGUUCUGGGCCGCACACGCGCUACACUGAAGGAGGCAGCGUGUACUCCUGGAUCGAAAGAUUUGGGUAACCCGCGAAUCUCCUUCGUGCUAGGGAUUGAGGUUUGCAAUUAUCCUUCAUAAACGAGGAAUUCCCAGUAAGUGCAAGUCAUAAGCUUGCGCUGACUACGUCCCUGCCCUUUGUACACACCGCCCGUCGCUACUACCGAUUGAAUGAUUUAGUGAGGACUUCGGACUGGGACCGAUGCGGCUUUCGGGCUGCGUCGGUAUUCUGGAAAGAUGUCCAAACUGUAUCAUUUAGAGGAAGUAAAAGUCGUAACA
rnacentral:rRNA from 1 species